rnacentral:rRNA from 1 species
AGUGUACGCUGGCGGUAGGCCUAACACAUGCAAGUCGAACGGCAGCACAGUAAGAGCUUGCUCUUACGGGUGGUGAGUGGCGGACGGGUGAGGAAUACAUCGGAAUCUACUUUUUCGUGGGGGAUAACGUAGGGAAACUUACGCUAAUACCGCAUACGACCUACGGGUGAAAGCAGGGGAUCUUCGGACCUUGCGCGGUUGAAUGAGCCGAUGUCGGAUUAGCUAGUUGGCGGGGUAAAGGCCCACCAAGGCGACGAUCCGUAGCUGGUCUGAGAGGAUGAUCAGCCACACUGGAACUGAGACACGGUCCAGACUCCUACGGGAGGCAGCAGUGGGGAAUAUUGGACAAUGGGCGCAAGCCUGAUCCAGCCAUACCGCGUGGGUGAAGAAGGCCUUCGGGUUGUAAAGCCCUUUUGUUGGGAAAGAAAAGCAGCAGGUUAAUACCCCGCUGUUCUGACGGUACCCAAAGAAUAAGCACCGGCUAACUUCGUG